GGGGCGCUGGCGCAACGGUAGCGCGUCAGAUUCCAGUCCUGAAGGUUAUCGGUUCAAAUCCGGUGUGCCUCA
rnacentral:tRNA from 17 species